UACGUAGGGUGCGAGCGUUGCCCGGAUUUAUUGGGCGUAAAGGGCGCGUAGGCGGCCACGCACGUCCGUUGUGAAAUCGCCCGGCGCAACUGGGCGGGGUCAGCGGAUACGGUGUGGCUCGAGCAAGCUAGGGGGCAAUGGAAUUCCCGGUGUAGUGGUGGAAUGCGUAGAUAUCGGGAGGAACACCAGUGGCGAAGGCGGUUGCCUGGAGCUUUGCUGACGCUGAGGCGCGAAAGCGUGGGGAGCGAGCCGG
rnacentral:rRNA from 1 species